rnacentral:lncRNA from 1 species
GGGAAAGGUAUACAUUUGAAGAACUGAAGGUUGAAAUUGAGUGUUAUGAGGAAUAUUACUCAAAAGAAAGCAAAAGAAGAAAAAGUGAAAUUAAGCGCAGACCGCUGAGCAGUCCAUUUUACCGCUGAGCGGUUGCGGCAUUGAGGGUCUCGGCUUUUCUUAAAAGCUGAGCGGUUUUUCAAGUUUCUCACUUUGAAACUCUUCUUUGCAUUUCGC